GAUGAACGCUGGCGGCGUGCCUAAUACAUGCAAGUCGAGCGAACAGACGAGGAGCUUGCUCCUCUGACGUUAGCGGCGGACGGGUGAGUAACACGUGGAUAACCUACCUAUAAGACUGGGAUAACUUCGGGAAACCGUAGCUAAUACCGGAUAAUAUUUUGAACCGCAUGGUUCAAUAGUGAAAGACGGUUUUGCUGUCACUUAUAGAUUGAUCCGCGCCGCAUUAGCUAGUUGGUAAGGUAACGGCUUACCAAGGCAACGAUGCUUAGCCGACCUGAGAGGGUGAUCGGCCAAACUGGAACUGAGACACGGUCCAGACUCCUACGGGAGGCAGCAGUAGGGAAUAUUCCGCAAUGGGCGAAAGCCUGACGGAGCAACGCCGCGUGAGUGAUGAAGGUCUUCGGAUCGUAAAACUCUGUUAUUAGGGAAGAACAAAUGUGUAAGUAACUAUGCACGUCUUGACGGUACCUAAUCAGAAAGCCACGGCUAACUACGUG
rnacentral:rRNA from 1 species